UACGAAGGGGGCUAGCGUUGCUCGGAAUCACUGGGCGUAAAGCGCACGUAGGCGGAUUGCUAAGUCAGGGGUGAAAUCCUGGAGCUCAACUCCAGAACUGCCCUUGAUACUGGCGGUCUUGAGUCCGGGAGAGGUGAGUGGAACUGCGAGUGUAGAGGUGAAAUUCGUAGAUAUUCGGAAGAACACCAGUGGCGAAGGCGACUUACUGGACAGAUAUUGACGCUGAGGUGCGAAAGCGUGGGGAGCAAACAGG
rnacentral:rRNA from 1 species